rnacentral:rRNA from 1 species
CGGGUGAGUUCACGUGGGCGAUCUGCCCCGUCUCUGGCACAAGCCCUGGAAACGGCGUCUAAUACCGGAUACUGACCCCCGCAGGCAUCUGCGGUUUCGAAAGCUCCGGCGGUGCAGGAUGAGCCCGCGGCCUAUCAGCUUGUUGGUGAGGCAAUGGCUCACCAAGGCGACGACGGGUAGCCGGCCUGAGAGGGCGACCGUUCACACUGGGACUGAGACACCCCCCAUAUUCAUACGGGAGGAAGCAGUGGGGAAUAUUGCACAAUGUGCGAAAGCUUGAUGCAGCGACGCCGCGUGAGGUAUGACGGCCUUCGACUCAUAAAUAAAUCUUUCAGCAGGGAAGAAGCGAAAGUGACGGUACCUGCAGAAGAAGCGCCGGCUAACUACGUGCCAGCAGCCGCGGUAAUACGUAGGGCGCGAGCGUUGUCCGGAAUUAUUGGGCGUAAAGAGCUCGUAGGCGGCUUGUCACGUCGGUUGUGAAAGCCCGGGGCUUAACCCCGGGUCUGCAGUCGAUACGGGCAGGCUAGAGUUCGGUAGGGGAGAUCGGAAUUCCUGGUGUAGCGUGAAAUGCGCAGAUAUCAGGAGGAACACCGGUGGCGAAGGCGGAUCUCUGGGCCGAUACUGACGCUGAGGAGCGAAAGCGUGGGAGCGAACAGGAUUAGAUACCCUGGUAGUCCACGCCGUAAACGGUGGGCACUAGGUGUGGCGACAUUCCACGUCGUCCGUGCGCAGCUAACGCAUUAGUGCCCCGCCUGGGAGUACGGCGCAAGCUAAACUCAAAGGAAUUGACGGGGGCCCGCA